UUGCUGGGAAUUGAACUCAGGAUCUCUGGAAGAGCAGUUGGGGCUCUUAACCGCUGAGCCAUCUCUCCAGCUCCCGGACAUUUUCUUUAAACACAUUUGGAAGACUUUUUGUAUAAAAGCAUGAAAUAAUUUGGGCGUGGUGGUUUUGAAUAGGUUUGGCCUCCACAGGUAGUAGCAGUAUUAGGAGGUGUGGCCUUCCUAGAGGAAGUGCAUCAUUGUGGGGAUGGGCUUUGAGGUUCUCUAUGCUUAAGCUCCGCCCAAGGCGGAAGAGUGUCUCCAGGCUGCGGUGGGAUCAAGCUGUACAACUCCCAGUUCCUCCUCCAGCACCGUGUCUGCGUGCAUGCGGCCAUGCUUCCCGCCAUAAUGGACUAAACCUCUGAAACUGUAAGCCAACCCCAAUUAAAUUCCUUAUAAGAGUUGCCUUGGUCAUGGUGUCUCUUCACAGCAACGGAAACCCUAGACAUGGCGUGGUGGCACGUCUUUAAUCCUAGCACCCAAGAGGCAGAGGUAGGUAUAAGGCCUGGCUGGUCUACACAGUGACUUCUAGGCCAGCCAGGCCUACACAGUGAGGCUGUCUUUUUUUUUUUUAAUGUAUGGGAAAUAUCCAAGUAUCCAAUAAGCGAAAAAGUAUCUGUUGCUUUGAUCAGGAGGCCAAUCAUAGUAAGUAUGCAGAAUGAGGUUGGAGGACAGGGAAUUUUAAGGUAAGUCUGGGCUACAAAGAAGAGUUUUCUUUUUUUCAGACAGGGUUUCGCUGUGUAGCCUUGGCUGCCCUGGAACUCAUUCUGUAGACGAGGCUGAAGUGUGGAGAUUAAAGGUAUGAGCCACCAUGCCUUAUAACACGCAUUUUCUUUGUCUUGAGUUCAAACUGGGUGUGGUGAUACGGCCUCCUCGUACUUGGGAUACAGCAACACAGAUUCCUGCCUGUAAAAAUUUGAGUCAAGCUUCACGGGCCUCAGAACUUUCGCCGACUUUGUUUGAUAUGCUUACUCUAUUGAGUUCUGACCAGACUAAAGUUACCAUUAGACCGAAGCACCACUCAUUUGUGUCCUGCUAGAGAGCUGUUUACUAUUAAGGAAAUGGGAAAUCCAUUUACCUUACCUUAGGUUCCUCUCAACUUAGCUUCCACCUAAAGUAGCCCCUUCCUAAUGUCAAGUAGCUGCCAAUGGCUUAUGUGGCAUUUAAGGCAAAGUGCUCCAAUAUAUUCAAAAUCUAGCUAGGCAUGAUAGCAUACUAGAGACUGAGGAAGAUGACUUCAAGCUCUAGACAAACCUGGGCUACAUGUUGAAAUUUCUCAAAAAAAAAAAAAUCCAGUAAAGGUAACAUUAAUGAAAGGCAUUGCAUAAACAUGUUCACAACAUUAUCUAUGUGGUAGAUACGCUUCUAUUUUAAUAGGCAAGGCAGUAGAAACCUGAGAAACAACCAUGCCCAGUGUCAUAGGACUAGAAGUUGGCUGAUAUUGUACAUAGUACAAGAUAGAACUUAUCCAUUGGACUAUAAUAACCUAAAAUGUGUUGACAUCUGUUGAAAGUUUAGGGUUUUAUGGACUGGGAUGUUUCUCAGUGGUGGAGUACUUGUCUAGUAUUUAGGAAGCCUUGAGUUCAACCCCCAGCACCAAAUAAACUAGCUAUGGUGACAUACCCUUGUAAUCUCAAUACUAUGUGAUAGAUGCAGGAGAAUGAGAGACGUUCAAGGUCAUCAUUGGCAACAUACUGAGGUCAAGGCCAGAUGGGAUACUCGAAACCUGUUUCAAAAAAAAGUAAAAAGAGGAAGUUCGGGGUUUCACAAGCACCUUAUUUUAUCCUCACAGUAGUGAGAGAAUCUGCUCACAUUAAAACUUUCGAUUCAGCAGCUUGUGGUGUCUGGCACCUGUAAUCCAGGUAUCAGGGAGGCUGGGGAAGAAGGAUUUUGAGUUUGAGGUCAGCAUAGCAUACAGCAAGUUUCAACCACAAAGGAAAGCUCACCAACAAAAGCAAAACAACAAAAUGUCCGUGGGAGACUGAAACCUAGUUUUUUUUUUUUUUUUUUGGUGGACCUUGAACUUCCACGAUAUGCCUAAAAGUUACCAAGUGAAAAAAAAAACACAUUAACCUCGAAAUGAUAAAAGAGAUCCUGCUAGCCUACAUACAAGUGAAAAAAAAAGUACAUCUUAAACGCUGGGUAGAUGCUCAGUCAGUAAAGGCACUUGCUGUCUAGCCUUAUGUUACAGGACCCACAUUGGAAAAAAUGGACUGUUCUCCUCUGAUCUCCACGUGUGCAUGUGUGUGGCUCAACACAUGUAUUCCUAUAGAAACAACUUUAAAAAUACACUUUAGGCAGAGCAGUGGUGGUUCAUGGUGGUUAACCCCAGCACAUGAGAGGCAGAGGCAGAUGGAUCUCUGAGUUCCAGAGAAACCCUGUCUUGAAAAACAAAAAAGCAGGUUGGGGAUUUAGCUCAGUGGUAGAGCGCUUGCCCUGGGUUCAGUCCCCAGCUCCGGAAAAAAGAAAAAAAAAA
ensembl:lncRNA